rnacentral:misc_RNA from 1 species
UGAAAUUCAAAAAUGCAAAUGCUAAUAGCCUUUUUUUUUUCACAAGUUUUUCAAGUGAUCUAGACAAUAAUCUACUAUAUUUCUAGAAUGUUGAAUCAAUAAAGCGACAACAAACUCUAUUAUCAUUGAGUGUUUAAGACAAAGAAAGUAUUUAACAAGCAUCAAAAGCAGUCCUCACUAUACAAACCAUAAGAUCUUCAGUGAACAGCUUCCCCUUGCACUUCCUCACUGCUAACUACAGGCACCUUCUCAUAAUCAGGAGUCCCUCUAAAUCUCUUGGGAAUGAUGCAACUGCCACCAUAUCGCUGCUGCAAGUAAAUAAAGGCAGCAAACAGCAGACCAACAAGUGGGAUAAUGAUGUCCCAUGCAGUGGAAUAAAAAUCCUGCCUGUGAUUUCCAUAUAUGUAUGAUAAAUCAAGGGACCAGGUGGAACUAUGAGCCCUGUAAAGGUCAUACGCAUGAGGCAGUAAACGGACAAUAGUUGUCCCGACAUAAAAGGUACAGGCAAGGGUAUUUUCUUUAGAAUUCAAGAAUACGUUGAACAUUAUCUGCGGGAGUAAAAAGCCAUCCAGAAUCAAACCAGCAUAAGAUUUAAGGUCUCUCCAAUGAUAAUGCCGCUGGUAACCCAUACGGCGUGGUUGUAGAUAUGGACUCCUAUAGGAAUUCUUCCAUUGGUGCACAUACCAAGCAAUCAACCCACCACCAACAAACAAUGGCAAGGCCAAAUAGAGAACCUUUUUCUCAGCAAGCCACAAACUUUUAUGGCUUCCAUCACUCUGCCUGGCAGACCAACUGAGUUGGAGCAGACGGAAUUGCAAAAGAAAUGCUACCAUUGUUACAACCCUCACUAUUACCUCAUUUACUUCAAGCCAUCCACCACUCUCAAGGAAAACAUUCUGUCUGUUAUGAUUUGCCAUGAACAGGGCUUCAAAAUUUAACAGAAGAGGUAUCAUGUAACCUAGUGUUAGAACCAUAAGCAUCACAAACGAAAUGAAGGGUAGCACAUCAGGAUGCUUUUUAGCAUGAUAGAGUUGCAAACCCACAAAGACACAAGCAAGAGUAUUAGAAAUCAAAACCAUGGUAAUCUCCAUAUCCAUUCUCCAUAUGGAUUCUGCUGCUUGGCUUGUAUAAAUUGAGUUUGAAGAUAUCUCAAUUUCCCAGAAGUAAAGAGGGUCCAACUUUUCCCGCAUGCUUUUAAUGGUUCCCUUGAUGUUAUUCCUACCCUUUGCAUUCAGUGGAGAAAAUUGAACAUUGAUCAGAAUCUGGCAGUCCUCUGAUUGAUUUUCUGUUGAGUUUUCAAGAAGAAAUAUUGGACGAGAACAGCCUAUCAUGCACAGCACACCAGUCUCAUUAUCAUAUGUCCCUUCAGCUGAAAUUUCUACGAAUUCAUUUGACAAAAGCUUAUUACCCAACUUAAAAUCAGAAGAAGCAGUGAAGCUCAUCUUGUAGCUAAUGUUUAUAAGACCACUGUUUGUGUUCACUCGAUAGGGCUCGAAAACCUGAUCACCCACAAACAAUGGGGAUGAAUAACCUUGUGCUAUUUUCCCUUUACCAUUAUUCGCCAAAAUAUGGAAUCUCAUGUCUGAUGAAUAAGCAUUAGGGUAUGCCUUUCCUUUGCGUCUCAUGGUCUUCUGUUUUGGACAGGAUUUACUCACCCUGUCAAACAUAGUAUACUUAUAUUUCAGACCUGGAAGGCCCCUUACCCUAUUCCCGGAACCAUGAAAUCUGAUUUCAUCAAAAUAGCCAGUCCCAUUCACUGGCAUGGUGCUCAAAAUUUUCCCUAGAACAGUACUCCCUUGUGUAAUUGUCAAGGUUUUAGGGAAUCUCAAGCUCAAUUGAAUUGAGCAAUCACCAAUAGAAGCAUUAACUAAUGAAUCCUUUAAAUUCAAGACUCGACAUGCAACCACACAGAGUCUAUCCUUCUUCUCAUCCCACACUCCCUCACCAAUUAACAUUCUAUUAGGAUAAAAAACUCUCUCAUAACUAAAAGGUCCAGAGCCAAAAUAACCAGAGUUUGAGAAUCCUAUCAAAACCCGAAUUCCACCCUCACGUUCACACCGAAUUCCUUGAAUUGUCAUAAACUUGGGCAAAAUCCCAGAGCUGCGACCAAGAGGGUCGCAAUUACCACCACCAUUACGAUCGCAUUCGUUUCCAUACUCCAAUUCAAAAGUCCUAGAGUACUUAUACAACUGACUUAAACAAGCACUGGGAUCUAGCCACUCUAAAUGUAAAUUAUCAUCCUCUCCACCACCAUCACUUCCACUAGAACACAAGUCACUACCACCUCUGUUUAUCAAUGUAUACUUAUAUUCACCAAAAUGAGGUAUCGCCAAAAUCGAAAUAGACUCAAAAUAACCCGAACUGCCUUUAUGAUUCAAACUCUCCAAAAACCCACUAAUCAAGCUACUAAUAUUACUAAAAUUCACUGGAUAAUUAAGCUUUAAAACAACAUUCGAAGAACUUACAACACCCAAAUUUGCAAAACUCGAUCCAGAUCCCACCAUACACAGCUUCCCAGUAUCCAUGGACCAAAACCCAUAAAGCUCGAACCCCAAAGACCCUGGACGGAUCGGAAUUCUCGGUGGACGGAACCUUAUCUCCCUCAAAUUGCGUUUCCACGUCAGGUUAAAGUGUGCAGGAAGGUGGAAUCUGAGAGUCGCUUGGAGCUUAAGGACGUGAGGAGUCUGCGUAAGAGAAAUAGUAUUCCUUUUCGGGUGGAAGGAGAGCGAAAUGGCAGGCAAAUCGGCAGUGAAGGCUCUUUUCGGGAAGAUUUGGUGGCCGCCAGUGAAAUAAGCAAUAUCAAAAUGAAGGACUUUGUCCUGGCCGAGAGCAAAGUUCAUGCGGGUUUCAGUAGAUGGGGAUUCUGGGAUGACUUGAUUACAGUGUUGGGUAUAAUAAGCAAGGAAAUUCGAAGAUGAAAUUGAGGUUGCUGCAGCUGCUGGGUUUGCGAGGAGACAGAAAUAAACUAAAAUGAGAAGGGUAGAGUAAGAGAAUUUAAGCGUUUUUGAAGGGUUUUUCAGGAAAAUGCAUUUCUGCAAUGGAAAAAAUUGAGAAGCAUCGCCAGUUUCCUCCAUUAGUCCUUCUCUCCGAAGGCGAAGAAGGUCCCCG